AUUAUAUAAAUAAAUACGAUUAUGUUCGCACACAUAUUUGUAACCUUGAUUUUUAAAUCAUUAUACCCCUUUAAGGCAUUUAAAAUGUGUACACGGUAUAGAACAAAAAUAUUUCCAAAUGGAUUUGGUUUGGGCAAUGCUUUCAGUUCAGUUCAAUAUAUAAUGACAAUAAUCAAAAAUUCUCAGGCUACUCAUUCGGCUUUUGUAAUUUGCCGCACGCCGUCGAGAUACGAGAUACAAGCAAGAAUCGACACCGAGACGAGAUGAGAGAAAUGAAUUUAAAAACAAUUUGCGGUCGGAACACACAAAAGCAACCAUGAGUUCAUCACACACAAAUCUUUGUAACACAAAUCUUUGUAACACAAAUCUUUUCUAUGUGUGUGAGUUGCCCUGAGAAGCGGAACAACAGCAAAAGGUGAACUCGUUGGCUGGUAAUGGAAUUCUGGCCGUUGGGCUAUUUUUAACCGUACUACUUCCCUUUGUUAACUUUAACUUACCAGCGGUGUGAUCUUCAACGAGUUGAAGCAAUCAUUUGUUACAACGUUUUAUGAAUGAACGCUAAGAUAACCAUGAAAGGCACCACCGCACAUGGUAACCAAAAACCAAGCAUAAACGAAACUGAGAAAUCUAAAAAUAAAUCAAAAGACAUAAAACACUUGUACAGAAAAAGCAACAAAAAGCUCGUACAAAUUAUAAAAAGAAAAAACGUGUGUGCGUGUGCUUAAGCUCAAAUGAACUUUUGGUGAUCUGGCUAUCAACUGCCCGGCUAGCUCAGUCGGUAGAGCAUGAGACUCUUAAUCUCAGGGUCGUGGGUUCGAGCCCCACGUUGGGCGAAAAUCAAUUUUUUGUUUUUUUAUUAUUGCUUAUAAAAAUAAUUGAUUAUUUUUUUAAAUUUUAGGUAUGCAUGUAAGAUUGAUUUUCAUAAAAUAGUAUUUUGUGCAAAAAAGCAUCCGAUCCUGCCAGGAGUCGAACCUGGAAUCUUCUGAUCCGUAGUCAGACGCGUUAUCCAUUGCGCCACAGGACCGUUGAAUUCGUGCUUGGCAUGAAUUAAAUAACAAGCAAGAUUUAUUUUAUGAGUAUUUGUGAGCUUUUGCUUGCGUGU